UCACAUUCUAAGGAUUCCAGGUUGAUU
rnacentral:piRNA from 1 species